rnacentral:lncRNA from 1 species
AUAAAAGCCAGUAUUGAUUGGGGCAGGGAAAUGAGCUCCACGCCCCUGCACUGGGAGCAGAAUGUAAAUACUUUUCUGGAAGGCAAUUAGCUACUAUGUAUCAAAACUCUUUAAAAUGUGCAUCUCUGCUUAACCAGAAAGUCCAGGUCUAGAAAUUUGCUGAAGGCAGUAAUUUAAAAGAUCAAUACAGUGUGGCAGUUAAGAGCCAAUCAGGACGUCAAUAGAAUCUGGUUUCAGGUCCUGAUUCCACUGAUGAGCUAAAUAAAAAUUACAAAUUACUGAAUGAGAACUUCAACACCUGGUAUGUGAAAUGGAGAUAAUAGUAAUAGCCAUCACACUGGCUGUCCUGAGGAUAAAAUGAGCCAAGUAAGAAAAUGCUCAGCACCAGCACACCCAGCAAGGUACAUAAAAAUGAUGGUAUAAAGAUGGUCAUCACAUCAUUGUAUGUAAAAGGGGAAAGCUAAAAUGCAAUGAAAUUGUCUAAUAAUAAAUGAUGCAUUAAACAAAUUAUGACAUAUCCAUAUAAUGAAUAUUAAGCUAUCCUUUAAAAUGUUGUGGAAACAUAUAUAUUGCUGCAGAAAGAUAUUCACAAUGUAUCAUUUGGGAUUAUAGGCAUUAUGGGAAAGUCCCUAAGACAGUUCAAGCAGGAAGGGCCUCGGUCCUGUAUUUCUUUCUUACGUUUGAAUAGAAACUACUACUUUUACAACUUUGUUAGGUGAAAAUUAGAUUAAAACAAAUACAGGGGAACAUAGCAUACCAGUUUUCAGCACACAACCACAGAGUGUUUACAGAUAUUAUCAACAUUCAACGUUUCUCUUUUGAAUUGUCACUCUUCAAAAGCCAUAAUUUCCCCAUUCCAGUUCAUUGGUUCAAUUCUUUUUUUUAUCUCAAUAAUCUUUUUUGUUCAAAUCACAUCUGUAAGUCAACAAAAAUUAAAGAUCAAAGCCCUUUGUAUUUUAAAUAUCCCAAAAAGUGUCUUUAUUAUUGCCCAUUUCUUUUGUUUGCCCUUUCAGAAUCAUAUAUGAACUAUUUUCUUAGUGCCUACUAAACUGGUAUCUAAAAUCACCAAUCUAGACAAGCUAGUAGGCCUCAAGCUUCCUAAGGGAACAGAGGUUUUACUCUCCCAUUCCAAGCCUCUUGGUAAUUAAAACAAGUGGCAAACAUAAACACAACUAAAUCAUUGGCAUUUACUAUAUGUUUGCUUAUGUCAUUAAUCUUCAUAACAACCCUCCAAGUGGAUAUUAUACCAUCUCAAUUUUACAGUUGGCAAACUGAACCUUAAGGAAUGAAGUAAUCUUUUUCAAGCAGAAUUUGGUUCCAGGUGCCAGAUACUCCUUGACUUACUGUUUGUUGUUUUCAAAACUUUUCUGAAUGUUCAUUGAUGAAUACCACUGGCAUUGAAGGGCAAUCUAGAAACCUCUGGAAAUCCAAAACUGCCGGAUGAAGAAAGAAUGCCUAUUACAGAGAGGAGCCCACAGCAUAAACCACCCUCUCUUUCUUGUAUAGGGCAACUAAGAAUAAACAGAUCUGAAUAGAAAAAGGCAAACCACAACUACACUGUGCAAAUCAAUGCAAGGGCCAAAUGGGAGUUCUCUAAUCUAGGGUUUUUCCUUAGCUGUACAGAGAUUCAUUUUACAUUUUAAUAUGCAACAUUUCACUUGAAUUAAGAUCAACGCUAGUUCCCUAAACACUGUAAUUCCGCAUGUGGAGACUUUUACUGUAGGGAGUGUACCACCUCUUUCUGGAUAUUCUCUUCCCUCCUCUAAACCAUUCUACAUACAUCUGCCAGAUUAAUCUUCUUAAAGUUUUAAUUACCUCAUUCCUCAGCUGAAAAAGCUUAAAGAGUUCCACAUUGCUUUGAAAUAUUGUCUAAAUUCCUCAACGGUCUGGCUCCAAACUCUUUUCAAUAAAAUUUUAUCAUCAGGAUAAUUUCUGUAGCAACUAACAGAAAUCCCAGUUCAAACUGGCCUAAACAGAAGGAAGCAUUUUCUCAUACAACUGGGAGAACAAAAGUCAGAUGGGCUUUGAGGUGACUUAAUCCCGUGGUUCUGGUUUCGUGCACCUAGGACUGAUUCAUAUUCUCUGUCUGUCUCUAUCUCUCUCUCUCUUCCCUCUGGUCAAUCAUAUUAUACUCAAGACACAGGAAAAGACACAUAAGUGUUUUCACACUUUGUCAUGCAACAUCCUGCCCACCAUUUUCAUCCAUCCUUCAAGGCCCACAUCUUUCAUGGCCCAUCCCUGUUGGUCCCAGCAGAGAGCCCUUCCCACUUUACUAUGACCUGUCUUAUAAAAUGACGACUUACAUGUAUGCCUUAACUGCUGACUAAACAAUAAGUUCCUUGAGGGCUGAGUCUACAUCCAAGCCCUUCUCUGCAUCCCAUUUCCUGACUAGUGACUUGUACACAGACUCUCAAUAAAUUAGCCAAUCAACCAACAAAGUCAACCUUAUAAGAAAAUCUGCACAGUUAUUUGUCCUAAGGCAAAUUUCAUAAAAACUCCUAAACCUUGGGUUAAAAACAACUAGAGGACACUCAGAUUUGAGGAGGAAUUUUAUGCAGAAAAUAGAACUCUCAGAAGAAAAGCUAUUUGAAAGUCUAAAACAAUUAGGGGAUCCAGGCUAAGCCUACCUCAUGUUGGUGCUAUUCUCACUGUAUCCCUACUGACCUGCACAGUAUCCUUAUCUAAGUGAGACACCAGACAAAACCUAGCAUCUCUUGACAUCACUCACUUUCUCAGCCCAUCCAGAGGCCUUAAAGUAACCCGCUCUCUACAAUUUGCCUACCCAGAAGUAGACUCCAGGAGAAACCCCAGGGGAAAUUAUAUGGUAAAGUCAGAAAAGAAGUCAGCAAAAGGCAACACGAUGUGAGUGCUCCAUGGUAAAGAAUGAAUUUGCUUUGGUGUAGCAUGAGGUCAGUGAUCUGGCAUUGGGAUUCAUUCAAUCACUCAUUCUAAAAUAUUUAAUAAUUGUUUGUUAGUUGUUAGGUACAAUGUCAGUUAUGAGCCUCAAACUUCUUUUGAACAAACUGGAAAAGAUGUUUUUUUCUCCCAAAGCCACUUCCUUCCUCCAUGGCCCAACAGCUCAAGGUCUCCUUGGGAUAUGGAGUUUAGGGUCAGCAGCUUCAAAGUCACAAUCCUCACUGUAGAUCACAGGACAGAGCAGUCCUUUGACUGUGCUAAACUGAGGUGAUUACCCUACCUCCAAAUUUUAGGAGUCUCCAUGGUGACUGAAAAUGGCUCAGAAAGGGAGCUGUUGGUAAGAUAGCUCUCUCUUUCAUCAUUCACUCAUUCAUGUAUUGAUUCAUUUGUUCAACGUUGAGAACUUCCAUUUGCCACAUCCUCUGCCUCUGAAGAGCUAAUAGGCAGGGAAAUAGAUAUGUUAAACAAAUAAUUAUGACAUGUUAUGAUCCGUGUCAUGAUAGAAAUAAGCACAGAGUGAGGGAGCAAUGAGAGGAAACGACAGACUCUGCCUGGAGAGUCAAAGGAGGCUCAGAGAGGGGGUAAUGCAGGACCAAUGAAGGAUGUAAACAUCGGAGAUGUUCCAACCCACAAGCUAUUCCCCAGCCUUCAAAGUAAGUGCAAGUAUAAGUGGAGAUAUGAGUAGAUUUACUUUAAAUAUAGAAGAGUUGGAAAAGGACAGGUUAGGAUUUUCAGCUAACUAUGGGGAUAAAAAUCAUUGCAUGAAGACAACCUAAGUCACUAAUCAUUCUCUUAUUGACAAUAACAACUUCUUUCCUGAGGCCCUUCUCUGUCUCUUUGGUUUCUGUUGUUUGUGGGUAAAUAUCCACCUGCUAUUUUAUACUAUUCCUGCUUAAUUGGCAACCAGCUGCCUCUAGGAAAUAAGAUAUUAUGUUCAAGUGUAACUAUUUUUUCUACCUCCAUCUUAUCACCAAGAAAAAGACUUAAGUUGAGAAAAUAUAUUCUUAAAAUAGAUACUUCCUUAAAAAACAAAACAAAACAAACAGAAAAAACAGCAAUGAGAUAUAAAGUAAGUGCUGAGAAUUCUAUCCUUUCUAAGGUAUCAACUCAAGGUAGGCAAAAACUAUACAAUCAUGAUUUGGUGAGCUUUAUUGCAUUCACAUAGCAACAGGAACAGACCUAGUCAAAUGUUAGUGAUAGCUUCUGCAUCAAAUCAAAGAAAUAGCUACUCCCUGAACUGCCUCUUUUGAGAGUGUUUUUAUUCAAAACUUUUAUGGCCCUUGGAACUUUUGAGACUUUUCAGUAGAAAAUUUCCAUGAUCUGGGAGCUGGGUUUCUGGGUCAGCUGGACAUAGCCUCCCUGCUCAGGACAGUGUUGGUAGGACAUGCUGGAGAAUAGGAGCACUUUGGAAGUAAGCCCUGCACAUGUGAUGGAUACAGGCAUGACAACGACCACCCUGACCAGCAAAGGGAGAAAAACAAAAGCAUCAAGCCAUAACUUGUUAAAGGGCAGCCCAGAGAGAUAGGAAAUUCCUAAAGCAAAGACUAAGUAGUGUGAUUUCAGAUGCUUUGGUCCAUGGAAUAAAAGAGAUUUUUUUUUUUACCCACCUACCCAUGGUGGGUAGUAGAGAGUGGUACUGUUUUGUAUAGCCUGCUACAGGACUCUUACCUCACAGCAUCCCUAUAUCUAUUUAUUUGUUAAAAAAAUAAAACAAAUGGUUAUUGCUUUUCAUCCUGAGAACAUCAAGAUUAUGAUACAGGAAUAAAAACAUAAUGUCUUAUAGAUGUAGAAGAUUAAGACCCAAAGAAAUUCAAUGGCCCUCUAAUAGGCCCAAAUUACUUAGUAAUAUAAGAAAUUGCACAGCAAACAUUUCCCGACUGAAGAUGGAAAUUUCUCUAAUGCAGCUCUGAUCCAGGGCAUUUUUCUGAACUUGAAAGGAGGCAAAAAGAAGUGCUUCAUAGGAACAUGUAUAUGUUCCCUCCAGGUCAUCAUAAAAAUCAUAAUAAAUCAUAACAUUUUUGAAUUCAAGAAAAUCUAAUAAAAUUUAACUCCUUUUUUAUAUAGAUGAGGAAAACAAGGCCUCAGGGAAUACAGUGACCUCCUUAAAGUUAUACAGCUACCAAAAUAUAUGAAAAAGCCAAAACUUAUGCUCGAGUCAUCUGAUCCCAAACUAUCUCCAACUAAAGAAAAACAAAAAAAAGAGGGAGAGAGAGAGAGAGCAACAAUGAGAAAAAUAAAAUCUCUACUUUUCCAAAGGUAGAGAACAUUCUGACAAACAUCUGCAAUUUCAUGGAAAUACCAGGUUUCGUACUGAUCUGUAUUCCCAGACUAUCCCUCCUCGGUGAGGACUAUUUGUUAAGUUAGGCUACUUUCAAUGACUAGACUGAGAGACUGUGGCUCUAGUUUUCAAAGAAUUGCUCCAUAUUCAUCCUGAUCCUUCUUGGUUUUAUAAAUUCACCAGAUUAACUAGAAAAUAUCUUUCUUCUUCUAUGAAAAUCUCUCUGAGGUUGCAGCUUGGUGCAUUUAAAGCUCUCUGAGGAGAGAGCAGGAAUAAAAGCCAGUUGGAAAACAACUGGGCCUCUGCCUGAAUUCUCUAAAGACUUCAUGUGCACACAGGCUCCCUUCUACUGACGUUCAACAUUUGCUCUUGGUUUUGACCUAUUUUCAUGUCUUGACACCUGCUUCUGGGCCUCUGCAUCCAUGAGAGCCUGUAUGGCUGAACACAUAGGAAGGUAUCACCUGUCUGUAUCCUUUAUCCCUGGCACUUGCCUAGUUUCCUCUUGGCCAACCUCCUCACUUUCCACUAACUGCCACAGACUUCCAGUUGCCAUUCUUUUGACCAUAUUCCUUCCAAUAUGUCCUAGGGUGGGAGGGAAUAACCAAGCUUCUAGAGCAGAGGUGCACACAGGUGUAGGAUUUCCUGGAGGAGUUAAUUUUUUUUUUUAAACUUAUGGCCUGACCAGCGCCAUAUGGAAGUUCCCAAGCCAGGAAGUGAAUCCAAGCCACAGCUGUGGCAAUGGCCAGAUCCUUAACCCACUGCACAGGGGGGGGGAUCAAACCCAUGUCUGUGCAGCGACCCAAGCCACUGAAGCUAGAUUCUUAACCCACUACGCCACAGUAAGAACUCCCUAUUUUUUAAUUUUUUAACCACCACAUUUUUAUUUUGCCCAGUAAUUACAUGUUUAAAAAACUCCUACCCUCUAUUAGCAGUAUUAUUUAAUAAAUAAUAUUUCUGCAGGUCUGAUCUUAUAUAAUAAACCAUAUUUUAACUCAAAAAGAGUAAGAGAGGCAUUUUCUUAUUUAAAAUCAGCUUGUCCAGGGAGUUCCUGUCAUGCCUCAGCAGUCACAAACCCAACCAGUAUCCAUGAGGUGGCAGGUUCAAUCCCUGCCUCACUCAGUGGGUUAAGGAUCCAGCGUUGCCAUGAUCUAUGGUAUAGGUCAAGGACGUGGCUCAGAUCCUGGCAUUGCUGUAGUUGUGGCACAGGCCAGCAACUGUAGCUCUGAUUUGACCCCUAGCCUGGGAACUUCCAUACGCCUCAGGUACAGCCCUAAAAAGCAA